UACGGAGGAUCCGAGCGUUAUCCGGAUUUAUUGGGUUUAAAGGGUGCGCAGGCAGGGGAUUAAGUCGGCGGUGAAAUUUUGCAGCUCAACUGUAAAAGUGCCUUCGAAACUGGUUUCCUUGAGUGUAGAUGAAGUAGGCGGAAUUUGUGGUGUAGCGGUGAAAUGCAUAGAUAUCACGAGGAACUCCGAUUGCGCAGGCAGCUUACUAAACUACUACUGACGCUCAGGCGCGAAAGCGUGGGUAGCAAACAGGAUUAGAUACCCUGGUA
rnacentral:rRNA from 1 species